AUUGAACGCUGGCGGCAGGCCUAAUACAUGCAAGUCGAGCGGAGCGGCGGACGGGGGAGUAAUGCCUAGGAAUCUGCCUGGUAGUGGGAGAUAACGUACGGAAACGGGCGCUAAUACAGCAUACUAUCAGAUGAGCCUAGGUCGGUGUAGAUAGUUGGUGGGGUAAAGGCCUACCAAGGCGACGAUCCGUAACUGGGCUGAGAGGAGGAUCAGUCACACUGGAACUGAGACACGGUCCAGACUCCUACGGGAGGCAGCAGUGGGGAAUAUUGGGCAAUGGGCGAAAGCCUGAUCCAGCAAUGCCGCGUGUGUGAAGAAGGUCUUCGGAUUGUAAAGCACUUUAAGUUGGGAGGCGUUACCAACAGAAUAAGCCCCGGCUAACUACGUGCCAGCAGCCGCGGUAAUAC
rnacentral:rRNA from 1 species